UCGUGCUAUUAGAAAUAGUAAGAAAAUUGAAGGAGUUGUGUUUAGGACAAGAGAAGCUUUUCUUCCAAAGAAGAUGUGGCUGAUCAUGAAGGUUUUCCUCUUGCAAAUUUUAGCAUUUCUACUUUUUGGUGGUGGCAUCUAUUGCCAAGCUUCAACCCGGCUUACUUUUGUGGUGAGGGAAGCUUCAUAUACAAGGCUUUGUAGCACCAAGAACAUCUUAACAGUAAAUGGACAAUUUCCAGGACCAACUAUAUAUGCUAAGAAAGAAGAGACGAUCAUUGUCGACGUUUAUAACAAAGGAAAAGAAAACAUCACCAUUCACUGGCAUGGGGUGAGCAUGCCUAGAUAUCCAUGGACAGAUGGUCCCGAGUAUAUCACAUAAUGCCCAAUUCAACCAGGGUCAAAAUUUAGCCAAAAGAUCAUCCUUUCCUUUGAGGAAGGCACUCUAUGGUGGCAUGCUCACAGUGAUUGGACCCGAGCCACCGUCCAUGGAGCUAUAAUCAUCUAUCCCAAGAAUGGAACCAAGUAUCCUUUUCCCAAGCCUAAUGCAGAAGUUCCCAUCAUAUUAGGACAAUGGUGGAAGAGUGAUGUUAAUGUGGUUCGAGAUGAAGCACUUACAACUGGAGCUGACCCCAAUGUCUCUAAUUCUUUAUUGAUAAAUGGACAACUUGGUGAUCUAUGCCAUGCUCAAAAUCAGGUACAAAUUAAGUUUAACUUCCCAUUUUAAAAUUGUACACGAUUUCAUUUUCUUGUUAGUUGACCAUAUUACUUUUUCUUAUUAACAUCAACAUAUUUAAAGCUUAAUGCUAAAAAAGAGGAAUAUAGCUACCCCAAAAUGGACUUUUAAACACUAGGUACAUCUUUAAGAAAAUUUGGUAUAUCUUAUCCUCUGGCUACCCCAUAUCGCUUCUUAUGGUCCAUUUGAUCAUUUAAAGACCAUUUAGAAGUGAUUUCAAAGUCGUUCCUCAUCUCAUAAUGGACUUUGGAACCCUAGGUACAUCCUUAAGAAAAUUUGGUACAUCCAAUCAUCGGGCUACUAGGACCCCUAUCACCCUUCCCAUGGUCCGUUUGUUCCUUUAGGAACCCUUGGGAAGUGAUUGGAUGUCAUUCGCCACCUUGGAAUAAACAUUGGAACCCUAAGUACAUCCUUAAGAAAUUUUGAAACAUGUAAUCCUUGGGCUAACGAGACACCUAUCUCCCUUCCCAUGGUCUAUUUAUUUCUUUUAGAGACCAUCAGAAAGUGAUUGGAGGUCAUUCCCCACAUUGGAACGGACUUUGGCACCCUUGGUACAUCAUUUACAAAAUUUAGUACAUCAUUUACAAAAUUUGGUACAUCAUUCACAAAAU